rnacentral:snRNA from 1 species
GUGCUUGCUUCAGCAGCACGUAUACUGAAAUUGGAGUCAUAGAGAGAUGAUUAGCAUGGUCUCUCUGCAGGGAUGACAUGUACAUUUGUGAAGCAUUCCAUAUUUUU